rnacentral:rRNA from 1 species
AUUUACUGGGCGUAAAGCGCGCGCAGGUGGGCGUGCAAGUCGGAAGUGAAAUCCUGGGGCUCAACCCCGGAACUGCCUUUGAUACUGGGUAUCUGGAGUAUGGAAGAGGUAAGUGGAAUUCCGAGUGUAGAGGUGAAAUUCGUAGAUAUUCGGAGGAACACCAGUGGCGAAGGCGGCUUACUGGUCCAUUACUGACGCUGAGGUGCGAAAGCGUGGGGAGCA